CAAGUCGAGUGCGCGGUGCCGUAGCAAUACGGUACUGGCGCACGGCGCACGGGUGCGUAACACGUGGGUAAUCUGCCCUCCGAUGGGGAAUAACCCCGCGAAAGCGGGGCUAAUACCGCAUAACAUUCCUUGGACUCCGGUUUGAGGACUCAAAGCCGCAAGGCGUCGGAGGUGGAGCCCGCGCACGAUUAGCUAGUUGGUAGGGUAACGGCCUACCAAGGCUAUGAUCGUUAGCUGGUCUGAGAGGAUGGCCAGCCACACUGGAACUGAGACACGGUCCAGACUCCUACGGGAGGCAGCAGUGGGGAAUCUUGCGCAAUGGGCGAAAGCCUGACGCAGCGACGCCGCGUGGGGGAUGAAGCUUCUCGGAGUGUAAACCCCUUUCGACCGGGACGAAUGCCCGCAAGGGAGUGACGGUACCGGUAUAAGAAGCCCCGGCUAACUACGUGCCAGCAGCCGCGGUAAGACGUAGGGGGCCAGCGUUGUUCGGAAUUACUGGGUGUAAAGGGUUCGUAGGCGGUGUGGCAAGUCGGGAGUGAAAUCUCUGGGCUCAACUCAGGGGCUGCUUCCGAAACUGCUGUGCUAGAGUGUGGGAGAGGCGCGUGGAAUUGCAGGUGUAGCGGUGAAAUGCGUAGAUAUCUGCAGGAACACCCGUGGCGAAAGCGGCGCGCUGGGCCACUACUGACGCUGAGGAACGAAAGCUAGGGGAGCAAACAGGAUUAGAUACCCUGGUAGUCCUAGCCCUAAACGAUCAGGACUUGGGGUGCCACCCGUUCGGGUGUCGUCCCGGAGCUAACGCGUUAAGUCCUGCACCUGGGGAGUACGGUCGCAAGACUGAAACUCAAAGGAAUUGACGGGGGCCC
rnacentral:rRNA from 1 species